rnacentral:rRNA from 1 species
GAUGAACGCUAGCUACAGGCUUAACACAUGCAAGUCGAGGGGAAACGACAUCGAAAGCUUGCUUUUGAUGGGCGUCGACCGGCGCACUGGUGAGUAACGCGUAUCCAACCUGCCCAUCACUUGGGAAUAACCUUGCGAAAGUAAGACUAAUACCCAAUGACAUCCCACGAAGACAUCUGAAUGGGAUUAAAGAUUUAUCGGUGAUGGAUGGGGAUGCGUCUGAUUAGCUUGUUGGCGGGGUAACGGCCCACCAAGGCAACGAUCAGUAGGGGUUCUGAGAGGAAGGUCCCCCACAUUGGAACUGAGACACGGUCCAAACUCCUACGGGAGGCAGCAGUGAGGAAUAUUGGUCAAUGGGCGAGAGCUUGAACCAGCCAAGUAGCGUGCAGGAUGACGGCCCUAUGGGUUGUAAACUGCUUUUAUAAGGGAAUAAAGUGGGUCUCGUGAGACUUUUUGCAUGUACCUUAUGAAUAAGGACCGGCUAAUUCCGUG